UACAGAGGUCUCAAGCGUUUGUUCGGAUUCAUUGGGCGUAAAGGGUGCGUAGGUGGCGCGCUAAGUCAGGUGUGAAAAUUUCGGAGCUUAACUCCGAAACUGCAUUUGAUACUGGCGUGCUUGAGGACUGGAGAGGAGACUGGAAUUCACGGUGUAGCAGUGAAAUGCGUAGAUAUCGUGAGGAAGACCAGUGGCGAAGGCGGGUCUCUGGACAGUUCCUGACACUGAGGCA
rnacentral:rRNA from 1 species